CCGGGGAGGAGGCGGAGGGCAGGCACGGGGCCGGCGGCGGGCACGGCGGGCAGGGAUGCCGAGGCUCCCGGCCCCCCUGGUGUGCCUGGCGCUGCUGCCUGCGCUCGCUGCUAGAGGCCUGCGCUGCUCCCAGCCCGGCGUGACUGCCUGCCAGAACGGUGGGAGGUGUGAAGUGCACAACGACACAGAGGCCUGCGUGUGAGUAGCCCCUGUGGGGACCUGUUGCUUUUGUUGGGAACGAGCCCCUGCCUUCUGGGGACUGAACACUGGGCCAUUGUCUUCUGGUGGCAGCCCAUGGCUGGGUGAGGUCACGUGCUAACUUUUAUUGGACAAAGUCUGGCAAUUACUUAAUCACCAGCAAUUAU
rnacentral:lncRNA from 1 species